ACACCAGGAGCAAGGGAAUGGAAAAUCAGGUCCAUCGUUUAAAAUAUUUUUCUUACACUUCCUUUCAACAUUUCUCUUUAAUUACAUGUCAACAUUUCCCACAGCAGCAGGAGAUAUGGGAAGUGGACGUACAACUUUCCAAGCUAUGUGGUUCAGAGCUGUAGGUUGACCCAGAAUGUACUACUGAAACCAAGGGAAAGAAAUCAGCUGAACUACUUCAUUGGAAAAACUAUAUGCAGAAUGAUAUUAAAAUAAAACAUACACAGCUGGAGGCACAACAAA